UGGGUCGGCGCGGGCAUCAACGGCCGCCAGCGGCAGAAGCGCCAAGAACGCCGCACGGCAAAUCCGGCCGGGCGUGAAAAAAAAGCGCGUCGAUGAAAAGCCAGCCGGCCCGAAUAUGCGCAUGGCGGGAAGUAUGGCCGAUA
rnacentral:ncRNA from 1 species